rnacentral:rRNA from 1 species
UACGUAGGGUCCGAGCGUUGUCCGGAAUUAUUGGGCGUAAAGGGCUCGUAGGCGGUUUGUCGCGUCGGGGAGUGAAAAACACGGGGCUUAACCCCGUGCCUGCUUCCGAUACGGGCAGACUAGAGGUAUGCAGGGGAGAACGGAAUUCCUGGUGUAGCGGUGAAAUGCGCAGAUAUCAGGAGGAACACCGGUGGCGAAGGCGGUUCUCUGGGCAUUACCUGACGCUGAGGAGCGAAAGUGUGGGGAGCGAACAGG